UCUCCCUGAAAACCACUCCUUCCUCUCUCUCUCUCUCUCUCUCAGAACCUCUCCUUCCUUCUCCCUCCCCCUCCCGCUCUCUCUUAAAACCUCUGUCUCUCUCUCGUCGCCAUUGGAGGAAUGUAGGCGUACCAUAGACAAUGGAACCGAUCCUCUACGGUUAGGAUCGACCCUCACCACGAAGGGCGUGGGGCAUCUUGUUUAGGAGAGGUACCGGCAGAGGGUCAUCUGUUAGGUACGACAGUCUACUACAUUUUGUCAAUGAAAUCCCCCUUUGAAUCUACAAAUGUUUGCUGAAUCCACGAACCCGUGUGGGGCCCUGCCCUCUCACUCAAACACACGCCAAUUGGAUGCACAUGUGCGAGAAUCGAGACUUCCAUCAGUGGCAUUAUUGCGACUUUGUUUGGAACUUUGGAGCUACUGGGUGUCUGAGUCAUUAUGUUGUACAACAGCUUGGCAAGUGCACCAUUAUAAAAACAAAGAAAAAAAGAUUAAAAUAUUAUGGUUUUGUCAACAUGUUGCAGAGAUGACAACAAACCUGCUCUAAGACCAGGUUCUAAGGAUACUUGCUGAUUAUUACCAAAAUUUCUUUAAUUUUGGGUUUCAUUUUGUUUUGUUUUGUUUUUUUCAUUUGUUUGUUUGGUUUUUUUUUUUUCCUGGAUUUCUUUGUGACAUGCUUGCUUUUCUCGAUAUUGUAGAAAAUUAUUCGUACUUCAAAUGAUGACCAAAUAUUUGCUUGUAGUGCGUCCACUUUCUUUUUUGCAAUUUUUUUUUUUCUGUCAUUGAGUUAUGAAAGUUGAAUUAAAAGAGUAGGGAAAAAAGGAAAUUGUUUUGCUAUAUAAGAUUAAAAAAAAUGCAAGAAAAGGGCUUUGAAGAGCUUUGAAGCUUGGUGUUUUUACUUGCCAAACUUGAUGGUUUUUUGGAGUUUGGUACUCCUUCUGUGGGAAUUAGUUUCACAGACCUAACUAGGUGCUACUGACACUUAAGACUUGUACUCCCACUCCCACUUCUGCUUCCUAACUGUUUAUACAUGCUAACAUUUAUUUUUUUUGAAAGAUAACAAAAAAUGUAUUUUCAACCCACAAAACAAGGAAAGAAUACAAUGGAAAGGGCGCAACCCCGCACAGCCAAGGACAUUGGAAAGACGAGCCUAAACAAAAGUGGCCCGACCGGAAACCAUCCCUUUAACCCAACUUAUGACAUCCUCAACUCCCAUCUUCUCAUUCCAAAAAGAACGACCAUUCUUAAUUAGGGUUGUACACGAACUGAGUUAGCUCGGUUAGCUCGCU